ensembl:lncRNA
AGCGGGGCGACGCUUGCUGCCACACAUAUUGGAAGCAUUGCUGAGUCCGGUUGAGACUAAACAUACGGCUCCCUACUGUGCUAACGGCCCGUCAAAACAUGGAGACAUUUUGACGGACGUUUCUUACCAAGGUCAACGUGCUCUUCUUGAUGGAACGAAAAAAAGGUUUUCUGCUGACGACGGCAGAUCCAAACAAUCUCUUGAGUCAUCCCAGGAAAAACUACCCUACACGACUUUGACUUAUUGCUGAUGACGGCGAAGAUUCCGGGCCCCUCUUUGCAUCUGACAUAACCGUGUUUUUCAUGGUUCCACAUUGUCUCUAGAUGUGGUUUGAUUUUCUGAGAAAGAGGUCUGUUCAGCUGUAGCGAGUGUCACCACCAUCCAGAGAUGCAUUGUGGGAGUUGAGAUGGAUGACGAAGAGUUGGCCACAGAGCACGCUUGGAGGGCUCUAAGAAGAAUGAUGUGUCCUUAAAAGGAUAAAGAGCAACAUCUGUCUGUUCUUUUUUUCUUCUUCUUUUCCUUAAUGUAUUUGUUACGAGC